rnacentral:tRNA from 1 species
GAAGGCUUUAGCUUAAUAAAAGUAUCUGAGUUGCAUUUAGAAGCUGCGAUUUAGUUUUCGCAAGUCUUA